UUCCAAUAGCCACGCAGGAGAUGCGGAGAUUGACAGGCGGCGGCGGUACAUUACCCCGCAAGGAAGGCCGCCUGUCCUUUUGGCGGUCGACGUUGAGGAGAGAGGUGUCCUUAAAAUGGCAGUAUUUAUCACGACUUUGCAGAGAUGGGCUGGAAGAUUGUAUUACAUACCUGCAAAUUGGCCUAAUCAACAUGCCUGGAGUCUUGGGAGAGUAGGUGCCUGAUUCCCUCCAAUUAUUCAGUUCGUAAUUGAUGGUGAGACCAGUCACCAUGUGAGCAACCAUUUGAUAUAAACUGAUCCAAUGUAGUUCCAGGCUGGAUUCUUGUAGAGGACUCAUCUGCUGGACCUGGGAGCUUGAGGAUGGAGAUUUAGCUGGGUGACUUCUGAAACUUGGUACAGCAGAAGUUGGACUUGCUGCUUGUACUAAAAUGUGUUCAAGGUGUAUUUUUUGUACUCUGCCUUAAUAAAGAAUUUGCUAUUUAA